rnacentral:lncRNA from 1 species
GAUCUGGUGUUGCUGUGGCUGUGGUGUAAGCUGGUGGCUGUGGCUCCGAUUUGACCCCUAGACUGGGAACCUCCAUAUGCCACAGGUACAGCGUCCCCCCCACCAAAAAAAACUUUCUUUUUGGCUCUGUCUCUGCCCUUUAAGGACUAAAUGACAGGUGCAGGUGCCAUGCUCCAAGGGCCUGGACUGCAAGUCACAGAUGAGGUUCCAGCUUCAUCAUGCUGGUGACUGUCCAGCAGUGGUACAUAAAUCUCCUCCCCUCCCUGCAUAGCUGCAUUUCCUCAGCGCAACCCCAGGGCUCAGGUGCUCCCUAACCAUCCUUCCUGCCACUGUCUGAGCUCCUAUGAUGGAGCAGAGUUGUGGAAUGUACUGGGAGGGAUGCAGGCUUUGGUUUAGGAAGCCCUGAGCAUGAAUCCCAGCUCCUGGACCUCCCAGCUCUGUGACCUCAGGCUCAUCUGCUAACCUCUCUGAUAUUCAUUGUCCAUGUCUAUGAAGAGGGCAAGGAUGACAGGAGCCCAUGUGGACAAGGUCUGUUUCCUUCCCUCGGUCUCUGACUCCUGAGUGCUUUGACUGGGGAUUUGCAGGUGUUUCUGAGGCAGAAACCCAAAGCGCCUGCCCUAAGUGUGGCGUUCAUCACACCUGCAUCACCCUGAGAUAUUCAACUCUCAGAUUUUUGGAAGCUCCUUUAUGUGGUUGAGAAACUCCUCAAAGGCAGAGUCCAGCCCCUUAAGCUCUGCUGGUGCUUCCGUGAUGGCACCUUCCAUUCUUGCCCCGUCCCUCCUGCAGACAGCAGCUGCAGCGUGAGUCAGUUGCUUAUAUAUAAUUUCUUUUGCAUCUCUCUGCAGAGAAUUCCAUUCAUUUAACCAGUAUUUGCCUCACAUGAGGAAAUGGGAUGCAGAGAAGAAUCAAUUCACAGCCACUGCCCUUAAGAGCUCCUGGGGGAAAAGUGCAAAUAGAUAGUGUGACACAAGGACUAUGCUAUCAGCCUGGAAUGUCCUAGGGUGCCAUGGGAGAAGAGGACUGAGUAGCUCUCUCCUGGGGACCCAGCAGGCAUGAGGUGCCUCUGAACAAAUCUUUUUUUUUUUUUGUCUUUCUGCCUUUUCUAGGGCCUCACCCAUGGCAUAUGGAGGUUCCCAGGCUAGGGGUCUAAUCAGAGCUGUAGCCACCAGCCUACGCUAGAGCCACAGCAACGUGGGAUCCAAGCCGCGUCUGCAACCUACACCACAGCUCACGGCAACGCUGGAUUCUUAACCCACUGAGCAAGGCCAGGGAUCAAACCUGCAACCUCAUGGUUCCUAGUCGGAUUCGUUAACCACUGGACCACGACGGGAACUCCUGAACAAAUCUUAAGAGGUGAGGAGGAGUCCACACUGCAGAAGUCCAGGCAGAGGGGCGGGACAGAGGGAACUUCAGGGUGGAGGCCAGAGCCCUAAGAGGAGGUGACACUGGCUGCCUGCCUGGAGCCGGAACCAAGGGGUGGAGGACCCGCAUUGCCACGUCCUGGUAGUCACCUGCACACUGAUGACCUGAGACCUCUCUCCCAGACCCCCAACUCACAUACCCAUCGCCCACUCCGCAUCCAUCUUUCAGGUGUAAUGGGCAUCCCAGACUCAGCGUAACUAGAAGUCUUAGGCAAACCCUGCCUAGCCCUGCCUAACUCUGUCCCUCCCCAGGCAUGAGGUGACUUUCCCCCACGUUAUGUGGCCCCACCAUUUACCUGGUUACACAGGCCCAAAAUGCAUCACCUUUGACUCUCUUCUUCCCUCGCUCCUCACCUUGUCUGUUUGCAACCUUGACAGCUGUUCCAUCACAGCAUAUCUCGAAAGCCACCACAGGUCCAGAGGGCCCCCAUUUCUCAGCAGGCCUCCCUGCUUCCACUCUGGCCCUGCUGCUAGCACCCUUCCCCACAGUCGGGCAGAAUGACCUUUUAAAAAGUAAAUAAGCCCAUCACACUGUCCUCUUACUCUGAUUUAUUUUUCUUUAUUAGCACCUGACUUUAUAUUGUGAACUUACUUGUCUUCUUUAUCAAUUGUCUUACCCUACUAGACUGUACGUCCUUGAGGAGGGGCCCCUGUCUUAUCAGUCUCAUUCACCCCUCUCUCUCCAGGAUCUAAAACAAGGCCUGGCACCCAGUAGGUGAUCAUCACACAUUAAACUGGUGACGAAAAAAAAAAAUAAGUGAAUGAAUGCAAGUUAAGACUUUGGUGUUGAUUCUGUGGGCAGUGCCAAUCUAGUAGACAUCUUUUAGGAGGUGAGUGACGUGGUCAGCACUUUUAUUUUAGAAAGCCAGCUGGUGGCAGUGUGGAGGCUGGACUUGUAGGAGGAGGCAGCAGAACUAGUUAGAGGCAGUGAAAAUGGUCCAGGAAAUUGAUGCCGAGCCUUAUGUAGAGCUGUGGGGUUGGAGAAGAGGGGCCCAAUGGCAGGCUGCGAAGACCUUUGAGCAUCUUUGGUUGCUAUUGGAACAACUUGAGAUAGCAAUUCUUUUAAAAGAAAAACAGGAGGGGAUGAGCUGGUAUGGGGAGAGACUGGUGACACCCCAUGAUGUUUUCCUCCCCAAGCAAAUGUCAGCCCCCGGAUGCAUGUCCCCUGCAGUGCGUUUAUUUCUCUGAGGUGUGACUCUGCUGCUCCUAGACUCCCAGUUCAGUCUUUCGGUAAGAAAGGAGUCAAGAUGGUAUCAGUGAGUCUGAUUCUUCAUCCUGUAGGUGGGUCCCUGAUCUUACACACCACAAGCCACACUAAGUCACUGAUUCCUCCUUACAAUGGGUACCUUUCUUCAUAUUUAACUCCAAAGGAGACUCACUCUGACAAAUUCUGCUUUCUCCUUUUUUUUUUUUUCCCCCUAAAGAAUGGCUAGGCUCUGCUCAAAUCUCAGAUGGGGUUUACUGAUAAGCUGGGGGUCCAGCAUCUCCCUUAUCACAAGCAUGCACAGGAGCCCUUGUCCUCGCUUGGGUGUCCCCAGCUUCCUAGCCCAGGCAUAGCCAUGUGGUCUGGCACUGCUUCUUGAGAACUUUCUUCUAAAGCUUGAAUCACUCCUUUCUCCCCGGCUCCCCAACCCUCCCCAAGUUUUGAUGCAAAGCCUUUCAUCUCUGAGCAAACACGUCCUUACCCUUCUUGCUGGGGUGUGCCCUUUCUGUCCCUAAGGGAGAGUAGGCCAUCCCAGGCUCUGAAGCCUUGGUCCAAAGUUCCUAAUCCCAUUUGCUGAGCCCUGUGAGGUGCAAAGCUGCACCAGCUGUAUAGCCAGAUGUCCACCUCCCACGGUUCCCUCUCUCCUCCAAAGGUCCAGGCGUCAUGGGAGUGACAUCAAUAGCUACCCUGUAGGGCUUCCUGUGUGCCGGGUACUGGGUUAAGCCCUUCACAUGCAUUGCGUCUAAUCCUCCCCACCCUGCAGGGAUGGUAUUAUGAUCCUGUUCACAGAUGAGGGAGCCGAGGCACUGAAGUGAAGCUUAGGAGUUAAGAGCCUGGGCUGAGAGUCAAGUGGACCCAGGUUUGAAUCCCACCUAGCUGUGGGCCUUACUCUUGUGAAUUAAGAUGCUACUUAAUCCUCUUUUUCUAGAUCUAGAAAAUGGAGAUAACAUAGAGGGUGUUCAUAGGGUUGCUGCAAAAAUUAAAUGAAAUAAAAUGUUAUUUUAUAAGUACGUAAGUACUUGUUUAGUAAAUACUAGAUUUUGUGCUGUCAGUAAAUGAUAGCUCAUUGUACAUACUGUUUCUUUUCUUUUUUUGUCUUUUGCAUUUUUUAGGGCUGCACCUGCUGCACAGGGAGGUUCCCAGGCUAGGGGUCCACUUGGAGCUGUAGUUGCCGGCCUAUACCACAGCCACAGCAAUGCCAGAUCCAAACUGCAUCUGCAGCCUAUACCACAGCUCACGGCCACACUGGGUCCUUAACCCAUGGAGUGAGGCCAGGGAUCGAACCUGCUUCCUCAUGGACCCUAGUCAGAUUCCUUUCCACCGAGCCAUGAUGGGAGCUCCUCAUUGUAGAUACUGUUCAUCAUUAGCACCAUCCUCAGCAGCAUUAUCCCCAUCCUGAGGCUCUAUGACUCCUAAGUAGAUAGAGCCAGGAUUUGAACCUAGCCCUGCCUGGCUCCAAAGCCCACAUUCUUCCUCCUGCCUGGAUGCUCUCCAGUUCAUCUUGCCUAAGACUUUCUGGUCCCUAAGUUUGCCUUCUUGGUCUUUUCUGGGUGUGCCAUUUGUUCCCAUCUGGGCAGUGGGCUCAAGCUAAGGUUCAGCGAUUCCUUGGUCUCUUCCAGCCAAUGACCUCUUUACAGUCAUUGACUGAGAAGUCCCCAGUGACUGGGCUGUUUUGGCAAGAGCUUGACAGUUUUCCCUGAUUGCCAAUGUCAUCUUGCCUACUGUGACAGCCAGGAGGUGUGUGGGGGGUGCUUCCUGUUGUCUAUAUCAGCAGGAUUAUCCAAAGAAAACAGGAGUGCACCGGAAAGGGCUGGUGUGUGUCCCUGUCUUGUGGGGGACUCACUUUGUGAAUGUGGUGACAUUUAUGGAGUCUUUCUCCAGGAAAAUGCACAU